GAUGAAGAACGUAGCGAAAUGCGAUAAGUAAUGUGAAUUGCAGAAUUCAGUGAAUCAUCGAAUCUUUGAACGCACAUUGCGCCCGCCAGUAUUCUGGCGGGCAUGCCUGUUCGAGCGUCAUUACAACCCUCAGGCCCCCGGGCCUGGCGUUGGGGAUCGGCGGAGCCCCCCGUGGGCACACGCCGUCCCCCAAAUGCAGUGGCGGUCCCGCCGCAGCUUCCAUCGCGUAGUAGCUAACACCUCGCGACUGGAGAGCGGCGCGGCCACGCCGUAAAACACCCAACUCUUCUGAAGUUGACCUCGAAUCAGGUAGGAAUACCCGCUGAAUUUAAGCAUAUCAAUAAGCGGAGGA
rnacentral:misc_RNA from 1 species